AGAAUGAACGCUGGCGGCAUGCCUAACACAUGCAAGUCGAACGAAGCCUUCGGGUUUAGUGGCGCACGGGUGCGUAACGCGUGGGAAUCUGCCUGUUGGUGGGGAAUAACUGUGGGAAACUGCAGCUAAUACCCCAUAUUCCCUGAGGGGGAAAGAUUUAUCGCCAACAGAUGAGCCCGCGUCAGAUUAGGUAGUUGGUAGGGUAAUGGCCUACCAAGCCAAUGAUCUGUAGCUGGUCUGAGAGGAUGACCAGCCACACUGGGACUGAGACACGGCCCAGACUCCUACGGGAGGCAGCAGUGGGGAAUAUUGGGCAAUGGGGGAAACCCUGACCCAGCAAUGCCGCGUGAGUGAUGAAGGCCUUCGGGUUGUAAAGCUCUUUCAGCAGGGAAGAUAAUGACGGUACCUGCAGAAGAAGCACCGGCUAACUCUGCGCCAGCAGCCGC
rnacentral:rRNA from 1 species